GCGCACAAGAUGGAUAAGCAUGAAGGCACAAGAGAUAAGUUAUCCAUUCAAAUUCAAACACGCUUUGAAUUUGAAUGGUUAACUAAUCAGCUUUAUCCAUCCAUAUAGCACACAAAAAUGGGUGUGGGGAGGGCUUUGCGUGAGAAAAAAUUCAUGAGAAAUUCCUUCUCGUGAAUUCAAAUGGGCGCAGUGGAUGUGAGGUGGCGCAGGGAGUUUGGGUCA
rnacentral:lncRNA from 1 species